rnacentral:rRNA from 1 species
CCUACGGGGCGCAGCAGUGGGGAAUAUUGGACAAUGGGCGAAAGCCUGAUCCAGCCAUGCCGCGUGUGUGAAGAAGGCCUUCGGGUUGUAAAGCACUUUCAGUGGGGAAGAAAGCCUUGGGGCUAAUACCCUCGAGGAAGGACAUCACCCACAGAAGAAGCACCGGCUAACUCCGUGCCAGCAGCCGCGGUAAUACGGAGGGUGCGAGCGUUAAUCGGAAUUACUGGGCGUAAAGCGCGCGUAGGCGGUCUGAUAAGCCGGUUGUGAAAGCCCCGGGCUCAACCUGGGAACGGCAUCCGGGGAGGUGCGGGGAGGGGGGCGGGAGAGAAGGGAAAAAGCCCGGGGGUAGGGGGGAACGGAGGAGAGACGGGGAGGAAAACCAGGGGAGAGGGCGGCUUUUGGAACUAACACGGACGCUGGGGGGCAAAGGCGUGGAGAGAAACAAGGAUUAGAUCCCCAAGAAUUC